AUGGCACAAUCAAUGAUGAGAAAGAUUGCUUUGAGCAACAUGUUUGUCAUGGUGGGUUUGACAAGAAGAGCUAGCUCUCGAAGCCUAGCUACAGGUAAAAAUUUGAUGGUGAAGAAGACCAGUAAUGAUUUACCACCAGAAGAGGAGAUCACAAAGUCGGUAUUUAUGUCACAGUCAACAGACAUAUACACAAACUUGGCUCUAGAAGAUUGGAUGUACCGUAACAUGGACUUUAGAAAGCAUCAUGUUAUGAUGGUUUGGCGAAAUGAACCAUGUGUUGUUAUCGGAAGACACCAGAACCCUUGGCUUGAAGCUAAUGUGCCCUUCUUAUCUGAGAAGGAAAUAGCAUUGGCUCGACGCAACAGUGGAGGUGGUACUGUAUAUCAUGACCGUGGCAACUUAAAUAUUACUUUCUUUACACCUAGAGAAAGAUAUGACAGAAAGUAUAACUUGGAGCUUAUUAAAAGAGCAUUAUUCAGGGGCUUUGGAAUUAAAUCUAUCAUCAACGAUCGUCAUGACAUUAUAGUCAGAGAUAAAUACAAAAUUUCUGGAACGGCUGCAAAAUUAGGACGUACAACAGCAUAUCAUCAUUGCACACUUCUAGUCAAUGCCAAUAAGGCAGAUCUCAGCAGAGCACUAGCUAAAAGAGAGCAUGGCAUACAGACGAACGCGACCCCGUCUACGCCAUCUCCCGUGGUGAAUUUAUCGGACUUGGACAACCGGGUUACUGUUGAGAGUCUUCAAACUGCAGUCGGCUAUGAAUAUCUCCGAACACCUGCUCUGCAGUUGGAAGAUGGUGGUGAACGACACAUUUCAAAACAGAGAGGAUUUCAAUUCAUAAAUCCCACCGAAGAUUGGUUUCCAGGUCUAUCGGAAUUGAAGAACGAUCUUCAAACGUGGGAUUGGUCGUUUGGUCGCACUCCUAUGUUCACGGUGAGCCGAUCAUUUCCCGUGCCGUCGGAGCUACUUGCGCCAUCCAAGGUCUACUCAGCCGCUCAAGAGUUGGUUAUUAGCAUGACAGUGGAAAAGGGUCUUAUAAAUGAUGUCACUCUUAACAUACCUCCUGGCCUGGUCGAAUCAGGAUUCCACGGGGAGGCAUCCGUCAUCACCCAUUUGAAAGGGAAAAGGUUUACGUCUGAAGCUCUUAACGCCCUCCAGGACGCGAUGCUCACGCGUCACACAAGUGGAGAUGUCAAAAAGUUGGAUGAAAAGGAACAAUUUGUAGCGAAAUGUUUCGAUCAAGUCGUUAAUACAGUUUAGUUUAAAUUAAAUUUAAUGCAGUGGUGCUGAGUUUAGUGUUAGUAUUAUCGUGGCGUUGUCAUUAUACAUAAUAUACUGUUUGUCCACUGAUUGUAAAUUUUAUCUUGUUAUAUGGAUAUUAAGAUACAUAUGGUUGAAAGGCUAAUUAGUAAACUGUGCUAUUGGUACUUGUGAUUGUGUAAAAUUAAUUUUUAAUACAAUUUAAUAUUGUUAUUUUUUUUUUUAUAUAUUUUUCAAAGCUUAUUGCAUUCGAAUAUUAUUCUAACAAUAUCAUAUUUGCUUUGUUAUUAUUUUGUGUUAUUUUAGUUUAUAUAGAUAUGGGAGACUCGUUAUGUGUGUUGCAUGCGUUGAUGCCUCGUUUUGUUUUGAUUUUAUUAUUAGAAUGAUACAUUUACUUGGAGGACUUAUAUAUGCAACACCUCGUCACGCGUCUCUGAGGUCCUGCGAGUCGCACGUUCGUGUCGAACGCUACAAGAAUGCAUCAUAUCAUUUGUUUUAAUUAAAUUUUAAUUUCGUUACCGAAUUAAUGUAUCCGCGUUUUUUUACUUAUAACGUAGCAUGUAUUUUGUAACGUUUUUAUGUCUAGAUUUCUAUUUAACCUAGACCAUUUCAUCAUUCACCCACAUUGUUUCACAAGAUCUGCCCGAAACGGGUACUUUUUUAUAUGGAAUGGACAUAAGGCACAUCUAGUUUAUGUAGGUUUUUGUUAAUCUUUAUAGAUAAGGUAAUGUAAACUUUUCUAUCCAAUAUUACUUUUGAUAUUAGACAAUUAUUAAAUACUAAGUAACAAAAUUUUAUCUCAUUGUAUUUUAUGAUAUAUUGAAAUAAAUCUAAUGGUAUUAUUGUA